rfam:Takifugu rubripes genomic scaffold, scaffold_29
CAGUGCAGUCAUCCAUAAAGUAGAAAGCACUACUAAACUCUUUGCCACAGUGUAGUGUUUCCUACUUUAUGGAUGAGUGUACUGU